CGUGUAGGCGGUCGAGUAAGUGGAAUGUGAAAUACUCCGGCUCACCCGGAGCACUGCAUCCCAAACUGCUCGGCUUGAGUAUGGGAGAGGACGAGGGAAUUCCUGGUGUAGCGGUGAAAUGCGUAGAUAUCAGGAGGAACACCGGUGGCGAAAGCGCUCGUCUGGCCCAAUACUGACGCUGAUGCGCGAAAGCUAGGGGAGCAAACGGGAUUAGAUACCCCGGUAGUCCUAGCCGUAAACGGUGAGCACUAGGUGUUGGAGGCAUCGACCCCUCCAGUGCCGUAGCUAACGCACUAAGUGCUCCGCCUGGGGAGUACGGCCGCAAGGUUGAA
rnacentral:rRNA from 1 species